UAGGGAAUCUUCCGCAAUGGGCGAAAGCCUGACGGAGCAACGCCGCGUGAGUGAUGAAGGUCUUCGGAUCGUAAAACUCUGUUAUUAGGGAAGAACAAAUGUGUAAGUAACUAUGCACGUCUUGACGGUACCUAAUCAGAAAGCCACGGCUAACUACGUGCCAGCAGCCGCGGUAAUACGUAGGUGGCAAGCGUUAUCCGGAAUUAUUGGGCGUAAAGCGCGCGUAGGCGGUUUUUUAAGUCUGAUGUGAAAGCCCACGGCUCAACCGUGGAGGGUCAUUGGAAACUGGAAAACUUGAGUGCAGAAGAGGAAAGUGGAAUUCCAUGUGUAGCGGUGAAAUGCGCAGAGAUAUGGAGGAACACCAGUGGCGAAGGCGACUUUCUGGUCUGUAACUGACGCUGAUGUGCGAAAGUGUGGGGAUCAAACAGG
rnacentral:rRNA from 1 species